UUUUGCAGGACAUUUUUUCGACAUAUGUAUAGUAGAACUCUUAUGACAUUUUUAUUGCAUACUAUACUGUGUCAUUUUUAAGACGUGUUCUUGAUGUUUUUGGUCAUCGUCGUUGGUUGAUCAGGAUGUGAGCACUGCAAUUUAACGGGAAUGAUUUAUGCAUGUAUGACUCCAUCAAUUAUUCAUUAAAAAUGUAAAAUUUAGUAACUACAGUAUCAAUGAAUUGCUACUCAACAGUACAUGAUAGUCACUUACUGCAUACUAAUGAAUACCUAACUUUUCAUGGGUGACACCGACUAAAACAAACACACUGAACAAACUGCACCGACUUAAGCCACUCUUGACACCCCAAGAGCCACACAGACAGCAUAAUACUAUAGCACAAUACCCAGGGACAACUAUAAGCUGUUUAUUGAUAGGCUUAGGUGAGGCGACAUGUCAGCAGAUCAAACAAAAGCUCAGAUGAAGUACCUCAGAAAACAGCAGUGACAAACAGCAUUUCUCCAGGCCUAUAGCCAAAGAUUCACUACAUGGCAAUGGGUUGAACACAACAAAAUGACCUGGCUCAAAGACAAGGCUAACAUAUUGCCCGAACAUAAAUCAUGGUUGUGGCUGCUUUUUUUUUUUUUCCUUUUUAAAUGUACCUCUUCACUCUUUUACUCCUGUCUGCACCUGAGACACGGUGGGCAAGGUCAGUCAUUGUUCAAACAUCAAUCGCUCAAAGACUGGCAGCUAAGCCUCACCCUUAUUCUGUCUGACUGGUCCUUCUGACUACACAAAGGUCUGAAAGGUGCAAGACGAUGACAACAAGUGUCCCGUGUUCUUUUAAAUAGCAUCAAUGUGGUCGAUAAUGUGUUUUGUUUUAAAAGCUUCAGCAGUGUUUUCAUAUUCAUAAGAAGUCCAUUUUAUAUUUUGAUGAAAAAACAAAUUGUUCUUGGAACGUGUAGCCGAACAGCGAGGAUGUCUCCUCACACAAUACACACUCAAUUUGCAGAGAAUUACUUAAAAUUGGGCAGCGUUUGACUUAGCAGAAAAUGUAGGACAGACCACAUAGUGGGUGAUGUGUGAAGAGGUCAAUUGCUGGGGAGGCACUGGCUGUUCUGAAAGCCAGAUUUUACUCAAAUUAAACCCUUGAUGAUAAAAAACAUUUUUCUAAACCAUCAAUACAACUCAUGCGAUGCCAAGCCCGGUGACUGAUGGAGACCAGGAAAUAACGCACUUAACAGUGAGCGUGAUACAUUAAAUGCACGUGAGCAUGCAUAAAAAAGAAGAAAAAAAAUGCUUUAUCCUUCUAUGGCUUUGUCAUAUUAAUUCAAGGCGAGUCACACAUGGGAGAGAAUUAGCAUACAGUCCAACUCAUUGCCAAAAACUGCAUUAUAUCGAGUAAAUAAAGUAGGACAAUGCCACUGUCUGAAACUAUUUUGAACUGAAAUAAACCGUACAGGUGGGAAACCUUUUGAGACACAUUUGAAAACAGAUGCAAAUACUGAUGUGCAACCUGACUAAAAUUGCAAAACAAAGUAUUUGAUAUCGUAAUUGGCUUUCCUUUCCAAGGACAACCUCCAAUAAACUCCACAGACAAAGUCAAAAAUCAUUUAGGCCUAGUGGUAGCAGCCAACAUAACAAAACAUCACACAAGUAGCCUAUAGCCAAGGUUUUCUAGGAUCAUUGUAAGGACCUAAGCCAAUGAAUACACCAAUCUAUAUUCAGACAGACACCAUAAGCUUGCUAAACAGUCAGGUAACAAACUAGUUUGCUUGCUAGCCAGACAUAAUUGAUAGAAAACCUAACACAACACAGUAUUACAAACAUAAAGACAAUUUUAAAAAGGGACUUACAAAAAGAAGCCAAUACACCAAUCUAUAUCCAAACAGAUACAUCAUAAGCUAGCUAAACAGACAGGUCGAUAACUAGUUUGCUCGCUAGCCAGACAGACAGAAUUGAUAAAGAACAGGCUUUCCUUUCCAAGGACAACUUCCAAUAAACUCCAUAGACAAAGUCACAAUAAUUAAGGCCUAUUGUUGGCAGCCAACAUAACAAAACAUCACAAAAGUAUCCUACAGCCAAGGUUGUUUGGUCUCAUUAUAAGGACCUAAGCUAUAUACUGGAGCUACACUGGAAUAAGCAUUGGCCUAGUCAUGGCACGGCGGCCAAAACCCAACACAGCAUCACAAAUAAAGAAAAUUAAAAUGACACCAUUUGUAGGUCGUCUACCUGGAAAAGAAGACAAUACAGAAAUGUAUAUUGGACAUUCAUUGGACAUGAAAAGACCCCGUGGCUGCACAACUAAAACUGUUUGUUCCAGAAACAUCCAUGUGAGCUGAAAAUGUUAGGAAAAUAAGAAAAGGAAGGAAGGUAAGUUUUUAGUCUGAGUCAGGGCUGUCAUACAAACACCUCACACACACACACACACACAGUUUGUCAGGUUAGCUAGAUAAGAUUAGGGCUAAGCCUGUGCAGUAAAUGCAUUGGCUAUUUGUGGCAAAAGAAAAACAUCUACAAACUGCUAAAAAAAUAUUCAAAUUUACAAAAAAUAAAUGUUGCUUUAUGGUCAGUCUGAAGGGACCUGAAGAGGUCACAACAAGCACAGACCCACGGCACAUUAGCCAUGAAUCAACAUAAUGUAACACAAACUGGGAAAUAAAAUAGAUUUUUCCAUCUGAAACAAAGCCAAUGUCACUUUGGCAUGAUCAUCCACUUAAAUACAGUGCACAAUGCACGUCAACACAAUUUUUUAAGAGGUCACAACAACCAUUGGUGUACUUAUAGCAAACAAAAUAAAAGUGGUGUGUGUGUGUGUGUGUGUGUGUGUGUGUUUGUGUAGGUCUACCUGAAAAAAAAAAGCCAAUGCCCCAAUCUUGGCCCAAACAGACACAUUUGUAGAUGGAAGUCUUAAUUAGCUAGACAGCAGUUUGGCUUAGCAGCCCCUUAAAUACAGCUGCACCGACACAAGUUUAAGACAUCACAACAAGGCUAAGGCACUGCAGCUGAGACAAUUAAGGACCAGACAUGGCAUGGCAGCCAGCAUGACUCAGACAAAAUGCAAACAAAAAGCAGGGGAUUUUAAAAGAGGCUGCAGACUGGUGCCUCGUAGAAGUCCUUCUGCUUGGCCUUCUCUUUCAUCAGAAGCUUGAUGGCCAGAGUUGAAAAGUCCUCCUCCACAGUCCCAACUGUGUUUUUGAAGAUGAUUCUCUCCACUGGUCAUGAUGUUGAUCUCAGUCCAAAUCACGUUGCUGGUUGAAAGCAGUAAGCACGGAUACCAGGGAAAGCUGAAGCAGUCCUCCUGGAGAUGAUUGAACAGUCUCAAACAUUUUUUCUUUUAAAAUUAAGUGACAAAAACUAUGUGUUCAUUUUCAGGAUAAAAAAAUUUAUUCAGCAGUAAAUUGUCAUGUGAGUUGUUUUUUGCAAAGACGAGUGAACUGCACUUUGUCAUGAAUUGUUUGGUACAUUGGUAAGACUCCAGGUGGACCUUCAUUUCCUGGGAGGAAAAAAAACCUGUGAAUCCUCAUUGAUGAUAGGCUGCACAGGUGGGUGAGGUUAUGCACUCCAGCCAAUAAAGCCCUCACAAACAUUUUAAACAAUGCCCCGCCCACCUGCUGCUCCUAUCAAACACAAGCAUGUCUGUAUGUCCCGCCCCCCAACAUCCUGUUUGAAAACUUCACCUUGAGGAAGUAAUUAAGCUAAUUAAAUAGCACUGCUGGAGGCUUACCUUCAAACUGAAUGGAAAACAUUGACUUACACUCUCACUAUUGAUUUGUGGCAGCAAAUUUAAUCGACUGUUUUUAUUUCAAUACAUGUUAAACAUAACAGUGUAUAAAUGCACAAAACAGUAUAUA